rnacentral:rRNA from 1 species
UGGGGAAUAUUGCACAAUGGGGCGGAAGCCUGAUGCAGCGAUGCCGCGUGAGGGAAGAAGGUUUUAGGAUUGUAAACCUCUGUCUUUGGGGACGAUAAUGACGGUACCCAAGGAGGAAGCUCCGGCUAACUACGUGCCAGCAGCCGCGGUAAUACGUAGGGAGCGAGCGUUGUCCGGAAUUACUGGAUGUAAAGGGAGCGUAGGCGGGAUUGCAAGUCAGAUGUGAAAUUUAUGGGCUCAACCGAUAACGUGCAUUUGAAACUGUAGUUCUUGAGUGAAGUAGAGGUAAGCGGAAUUCCUAGUGUAGCGGUGAAAUGCGUAGAUAUUAGGAGGAACAUCAGUGGCGAAGGCGGCUUACUGGGCUUUAACUGACGCUGAGGCUCGAAAGCGUGGGGAGCAAACAGGAUUAGAUACCCUGGUAGU